rnacentral:rRNA from 1 species
AGCAGCCGCGGUAAUUCCAGCUCCAAUAGCGUAUAUUAAAGUUGCUGCAGUUAAAAAGCUCGUAGUUGAAUUUCGGGACCAUCAUGUCGGUCGUGCCUCGGUACGUACUGGCAUUGUUGGUUUCUCCCUUCUGACGAACCAUGAUGUCAUUUAUUUGGUGUUGUGGGGAAUCAGGACUGUUACUUUGAAAAAAUUAGAGUGUUUAAAGCAGGCUCACGCUUGAAUACAUUAGCAUGGAAUAAUGAAAUAGGACGUUUGAUUCUAUUUUGUUGGUUUCUAGGAUCGACGUAAUGAUUAAUAGGGAUAGUUGGGGGCAUUAGUAUUCAAUUGUCAGAGGUGAAAUUCUUGGAUUUAUUGAAGACUAACUACUGCGAAAGCAUUUGCCAAGGAUGUUUUCAUUAAUCAAGAACGAAAGUUAGGGGAUCGAAGACGAUCAGAUACCGUCGUAGUCUUAACCAUAAACUAUGCCGACUAGGGAUCGGAUGAUGUUAAUUUUUAAUGACUCAUUC